UUUUUUCACUCUUGUCCUUGACAAGUAUCUAAUGUAGACCAUAGAGUUUUGGGUUUUGGUUUUGAUUUUGACAACUGGGAUGGCCGAUCAGAUUUCAACUGGGAGACAGGCCAGCCUUGAAUGUGCCUGUGCAAAUAGGUCAACAAAUAUGACAUCUAAAUAUACAUUGGAGUUAGAGUUAAAUUUUCUUUAAAGUUCAAUUAUUGUAGACAUAUCUUUCUGAUCAGCAUGAAUCUUUGGUCAGCUUUUAUGACAAAGGGUGUAGAUCAGUGGCGAUUGCUCUAAGACUGCAAGGGAAGCUCGGCUUCCCUUAAAAUGUCACCCCCCAAAAAAAAGAAAAAGUGGUGAAAUACGUACUGCUGUGUGUACAUUUCAUUAACUAAAUACGCGCUAGAAAGCCUUCAUCUUUUGUUCAGACACUGUGAUAAGAAGCUGAUAAUUAUAGGUAACCGGCAUAACUUCGUUCUCAUUCAUCCUCGCAGCGCCUCAGCGCUUUAAACAGCCGGACGCUGGGCUUCUGCUGACUUCAAUGUGGAAGCUAAAAGUGGGUUGUUCCAGCAGCGAAACUAGACGCUCAUUGGAUAAAUGCUGGGCUUUGUCCCGCCCAAUGGAAGCUAAGCUUCACUGGAGUUCUAUGGCGAGAGGGCGGUCCCGACUUUCUCCCGGACUGCAAGCUUCUGCAUCCAUGAUUGGAUGAGCUGUCUGAGGCGAAAUCCUUUUUUGAUUGACAGCUAAACAAGCGAAUAAGCGAUCUUGAAGAAUAAAACAUCUACCAGAGCAUUUUCCAAGUCAUUCAUUCCGUUGUUCUUAACUGCUCCGGAGACUUUACCGAUCCUCAGCGACUUCUGUCUUUAUUAAAAACGACUGCCGUUGUGUUUGGCGACUCUGUUCUGUUACAUACUAAUAAACAAAUACAAUUAUGAUGUAGGCCAGAAAAAUGAGCUUCCCCUCAUUGAAAGACCAGCAGCCGCCACUGGUGUAGAUGUUUCGAAAUCAAGCAGGUACAACUAAAGGUAUAUUUUGAGGAUGGAGCAGAUGCUUGAUCAUACAUUUGAUGUUUCUUCCACAAGUUUUUUCUUUUCACCCAGCCUAAAAGUCCUGAUUAUCAGUUCUGGGUUCCUGGCAAUGACUGUUGGGUACAAACUGAAAACCUUUGUUCUGCAGGUAGGGCUGGGCUUUUCACUGACCAUGGAGGUGGAUUAGUUGUGUGGGCAAAGUGUGUCAUCAUAGCCACUAUGUUUUCUGCACUUGGAGUAGACAGCACCUUGAUAGCUCAGUUGGUAGAGCAGAGGACUGUAGGCAGUUCCUCCUAUGAAGUGCUGUCGUUCCAAGGUCGCUGGUUCAACUCCCUCUCAAAGCAAGCCUUGUCUUCAUCUGUCAGCUCCUCCAAAAUUUAAUAACACAAACAAGAUAACUCCUACUUUAUAUUCCAACCAUCAAUUUUUUAUUCACCCAGCCUAAAAGUCCUGAUCAUCAGUUCUGGGUCCCUGGCAAUGACUGUUGGGUACAAACUGAGAAGCUGUGCUCUGAAGGUAGGGCUGGGCUUUUCACUGACCAUGUAGGUGGAUUAGUUGUGUGGGCAAAGUGUGUCAUCAUAGCCACUAUGUGUUCUGCACUUGGAGUAGACAGCACCUUGAUAGCUCAGUUGGUAGAGCAGUGGACUGUAUGCAGUUCCUCCUAUGAAGUGCUGUCGUUCCAAGGUCGCUGGUUCAACUCCCGCUCAAAGCAAGCCUUGUCUUCAUCUGUCAGCUCCUCCAAAAUUUAAAAACACAAACAAGAUAACUCCUACUUUAUUUUCCAACCAUCAAUUUUUUAUUCACCCAGCCUAAAAGUCCUGAUCAUCAGUUCUGGGUCCCUGGCAAUGACUGUUGGGUACAAACUGAGAAGCUGUGCUCUGAAGGUAGGGCUGGGCUUUUCACUGACCAUGUAGGUGGAUUAGUUGUGUGGGCAAAGUGUGUCAUCAUAGCCACUAUGUUUUCUGCACUUGGAGUAGACAGCACCUUGAUAGCUCAGUUGGUAGAGCAGAGGACUGUAGGCAGUUCCUCCUAUGAAGUGCUGUCGUUCCAGGGUCGCUGGUUCAACUGGCACUCAAAGCAAGCCUUGUGUUCAUCUGUCAGCUCCUCCAAAAUUUAAAAACACAAACAAGAUAACUCCUACUUUAUUUUCCAACCAUCAAUUUUUUAUUCACCCAGCCUAAAAGUCCUGAUUAUCAGUUCUGGGUCCCUGGCAAUGACUGUUGGGUACAAACUGAGAAGCUGCGCUCUGAAGGUAGGGCUGGGCUUUUCACUGACCAUGUAGGUGGAUUAGUUGUGUGGGCAAAGUGUGUCAUCAUAGCCACUAUGUUUUCUGCACUUGGAGUAGACAGCAUCUUGAUAGCUCAGUUGGUAGAGCAGGGGACUGUAGGCAGUUCCUCCUAUGAAGUGCUGUGGUUCCAAGGUCGCUGGUUCAACUCCCGCUCAAAGCAAGCCUUGUCUUCAUCUGUCAGCUCCUCCAAAAUUUAAAAACACAAACAAGAUAACUCCUACUUGAUUUUCCAACCAUCAAUUUUUUAUUCACCCAGCCUAAAAGUCCUGAUUAUCAGUUCUGGGUCCCUGGCAAUGACUGUUGGGUACAAACUGAGAAGCUGCGCUCUGAAGGUAGGGCUGGGCUUUUCACUGACCAUGUAGGUGGAUUAGUUGUGUGGGCAAAGUGUGUCAUCAUAGCCACUAUGUUUUCUGCACUUGGAGUAGACAGCAUCUUGAUAGCUCAGUUGGUAGAGCAGAGGACUGUAGGCAGUUCCUCCUAUGAAGUGCUGUCGUUUCAAGGUCGCUGGUUCAACUCCCGCUCAAAGCAAGCCUUGUCUUCAUCUGUCAGCUCCUCCAAAAUUUAAAAACACAAACAAGAUAACUCCUACUUUAUUUUCCAACCAUCAAUUUUUUAUUCACCCAGCCUAAAAGUCCUGAUUAUCAGUUCUGGGUCCCUGGCAAUGACUGUUGGGUACAAACUGAGAAGCUGUGCUCUGAAGGUAGGGCUGGGCUUUUCACUGACCAUGUAGGUGGAUUAGUUGUGUGGGCAAAGUGUGUCAUCAUAGCCACUAUGUUUUCUGCACUUGGAGUAGACAGCACCUUGAUAGCUCAGUUGGUAGAGCAGAGGACUGUAGCCAGUUCCUCCUAUGAAGUGCUGUCGUUCCAGGGUCGCUGGUUCAACUCCCGCUCAAAGCAAGCCUUGUGUUCAUCUGUCAGCUCCUCCAAAAUUUAAAAACACAAACAAGAUAACUCCUACUUUAUUUUCCAACCAUCAAUUUUUUAUUCACCCAGCCUAAAAGUCCUGAUUAUCAGUUCUGGGUCCCUGGCAAUGACUGUUGGGUACAAACUGAGAAGCUGCGCUCUGAAGGUAGGGCUGGGCUUUUCACUGACCAUGUAGGUGGAUUAGUUGUGUGGGCAAAGUGUGUCAUCAUAGCCACUAUGUUUUCUGCACUUGGAGUAGACAGCACCUUGAUAGCUCAGUUGGUAGAGCAGAGGACUGUAGGCAGUUCCUCCUAUGAAGUGCUGUCGUUCCAAGGUCGCUGGUUCAACUCCCGCUCAAAGCAAGCCUUGUCUUCAUCUGUCAGCUCCUCCAAAAUUUAAAAACACAAACAAGAUAACUCCUACUUUAUUUUCCAACCAUCAAUUUUUUAUUCACCCAGCCUAAAAGUCCUGAUUAUCAGUUCUGGGUCCCUGGCAAUGACUGUUGGGUACAAACUGAGAAGCUGUGCUCUGAAGGUAGGGCUGGGCUUUUCACUGACCAUGUAGGUGGAUUAGUUGUGUGGGCAAAGUGUGUCAUCAUAGCCACUAUGUUUUCUGCACUUGGAGUAGACAGCACCUUGAUAGCUCAGUUGGUAGAGCAGAGGACUGUAGGCAGUUCCUCCUAUGAAGUGCUGUCGUUCCAAGGUCGCUGGUUCAACUCCCGCUCAAAGCAAGCCUUGUCUUCAUCUGUCAGCUCCUCCAAAAUUUAAAAACACAAACAAGAUAACUCCUACUUUAUUUUCCAACCAUCAAUUUUUUAUUCACCCAGCCUAAAAGUCCUGAUUAUCAGUUCUGGGUCCCUGGCAAUGACUGUUGGGUACAAACUGAGAAGCUGUGCUCUGAAGGUAGGGCUGGGCUUUUCACUGACCAUGUAGGUGGAUUAGUUGUGUGGGCAAAGUGUGUCAUCAUAGCCACUAUGUUUUCUGCACUUGGAGUAGACAGCACCUUGAUAGCUCAGUUGGUAGAGCAGAGGACUGUAGGCAGUUCCUCCUAUGAAGUGCUGUGGUUCCAAGGUCGCUGGUUCAACUCCCGCUCAAAGCAAGCCUUGUCUUCAUCUGUCAGCUCCUCCAAAAUUUAAAAACACAAACAAGAUAACUCCUACUUUAUUUUCCAACCAUCAAUUUUUUAUUCACCCAGCCUAAAAGUCCUGAUUAUCAGUUCUGGGUCCCUGGCAAUGACUGUUGGGUACAAACUGAGAAGCUGCGCUCUGAAGGUAGGGCUGGGCUUUUCACUGACCAUGUAGGUGGAUUAGUUGUGUGGGCAAAGUGUGUCAUCAUAGCCACUAUGUUUUCUGCACUUGGAGUAGACAGCACCUUGAUAGCUCAGUUGGUAGAGCAGAGGACUGUAGGCAGUUCCUCCUAUGAAGUGCUGUGGUUCCAAGGUCGCUGGUUCAACUCCCGCUCAAAGCAAGCCUUGUGUUCAUCUGUCAGCUCCUCCAAAAUUUAAAAACACAAACAAGAUAACUCCUACUUUAUUUUCCAACCAUCAAUUUUUUAUUCACCCAGCCUAAAAGUCCUGAUUAUCAGUUCUGGGUCCCUGGCAAUGACUGUUGGGUACAAACUGAGAAGCUGUGCUCUGAAGGUAGGGCUGGGCUUUUCACUGACCAUGUAGGUGGAUUAGUUGUGUGGGCAAAGUGUGUCAUCAUAGCCACUAUGUUUUCUGCACUUGGAGUAGACAGCACCUUGAUAGCUCAGUUGGUAGAGCAGAGGACUGUAGGCAGUUCCUCCUAUGAAGUGCUGUCGUUCCAAGGUCGCUGGUUCAACUCCCGCUCAAAGCAAGCCUUGUGUUCAUCUGUCAGCUCCUCCAAAAUUUAAAAACACAAACAAGAUAACUCCUACUUUAUUUUCCAACCAUCAAUUUUUUAUUCACCCAGCCUAAAAGUCCUGAUUAUCAGUUCUGGGUCCCUGGCAAUGACUGUUGGGUACAAACUGAGAAGCUGUGCUCUGAAGGUAGGGCUGGGCUUUUCACUGACCAUGUAGGUGGAUUAGUUGUGUGGGCAAAGUGUGUCAUCAUAGCCACUAUGUUUUCUGCACUUGGAGUAGACAGCACCUUGAUAGCUCAGUUGGUAGAGCAGAGGACUGUAGGCAGUUCCUCCUAUGAAGUGCUGUCGUUCCAAGGUCGCUGGUUCAACUCCCGCUCAAAGCAAGCCUUGACUUCAUCUGUCAGCUCCUCCAAAAUUUAAAAACACAAACAAGAUAACUCCUACUUUAUUUUCCAACCAUCAAUUUUUUAUUCACCCAGCCUAAAAGUCCUGAUUAUCAGUUCUGGGUCCCUGGCAAUGACUGUUGGGUACAAACUGAGAAGCUGUGCUCUGAAGGUAGGGCUGGGCUUUUCACUGACCAUGUAGGUGGAUUAGUUGUGUGGGCAAAGUGUGUCAUCAUAGCCACUAUGUUUUCUGCACUUGGAGUAGACAGCACCUUGAUAGCUCAGUUGGUAGAGCAGAGGACUGUAGGCAGUUCCUCCUAUGAAGUGCUGUGGUUCCAAGGUCGCUGGUUCAACUCCCGCUCAAAGCAAGCCUUGUCUUCAUCUUUCAGCUCCUCCAAAAUUUAAAAACACAAACAAGAUAACUCCUACUUUAUUUUCCAACCAUCAAUUUUUUAUUCACCCAGCCUAAAAGUCCUGAUUAUCAGUUCUGGGUCCCUGGCAAUGACUGUUGGGUACAAACUGAGAAGCUGCGCUCUGAAGGUAGGGCUGGGCUUUUCACUGACCAUGUAGGUGGAUUAGUUGUGUGGGCAAAGUGUGUCAUCAUAGCCACUAUGUUUUCUGCACUUGGAGUAGACAGCAUCUUGAUAGCUCAGUUGGUAGAGCAGAGGACUGUAGGCAGUUCCUCCUAUGAAGUGCUGUCGUUCCAGGGUCGCUGGUUCAACUCCCGCUCAAAGCAAGCCUUGUGUUCAUCUGUCAGCUCCUCCAAAAUUUAAAAACACAAACAAGAUAACUCCUACUUUAUUUUCCAACCAUCAAUUUUUUAUUCACCCAGCCUAAAAGUCCUGAUUAUCAGUUCUGGGUCCCUGGCAAUGACUGUUGGGUACAAACUGAGAAGCUGCGCUCUGAAGGUAGGGCUGGGCUUUUCACUGACCAUGUAGGUGGAUUAGUUGUGUGGGCAAAGUGUGUCAUCAUAGCCACUAUGUUUUCUGCACUUGGAGUAGACAGCAUCUUGAUAGCUCAGUUGGUAGAGCAGAGCACUGUAGGCAGUUCCUCCUAUGAAGUGCUGUGGUUUCAAGGUCGCUGGUUCAACUCCCGCUCAAAGCAAGCCUUUUCUUCAUCUGUCAGCUCCUCCAAAAUUUAAAAACACAAACAAGAUAACUCCUACUUUAUUUUCCAACCAUCAAUUUUUUAUUCACCCAGCCUAAAAGUCCUGAUUAUCAGUUCUGGGUCCCUGGCAAUGACUGUUGGGUACAAACUGAGAAGCUGUGCUCUGAAGGUAGGGCUGGGCUUUUCACUGACCAUGUAGGUGGAUUAGUUGUGUGGGCAAAGUGUGUCAUCAUAGCCACUAUGUUUUCUGCACUUGGAGUAGACAGCACCUUGAUAGCUCAGUUGGUAGAGCAGAGGACUGUAGGCAGUUCCUCCUAUGAAGUGCUGUGGUUCCAAGGUCGCUGGUUCAACUCCCGCUCAAAGCAAGCCUUGUGUUCAUCUGUCAGCUCCUCCUAAAUUUAAAAACACAAACAAGAUAACUCCUACUUUAUUUUCCAACCAUCAAUUUUUUAUUCACCCAGCCUAAAAGUCCUGAUUAUCAGUUCUGGGUCCCUGGCAAUGACUGUUGGGUACAAACUGAGAAGCUGCGCUCUGAAGGUAGGGCUGGGCUUUUCACUGACCAUGUAGGUGGAUUAGUUGUGUGGGCAAAGUGUGUCAUCAUAGCCACUAUGUUUUCUGCACUUGGAGUAGACAGCACCUUGAUAGCUCAGUUGGUAGAGCAGAGGACUGUAGGCAGUUCCUCCUAUGAAGUGCUGUCGUUCCAAGGUCGCUGGUUCAACUCCCGCUCAAAGCAAGCCUUGACUUCAUCUGUCAGCUCCUCCAAAAUUUAAAAACACAAACAAGAUAACUCCUACUUUAUUUUCCAACCAUCAAUUUUUUAUUCACCCAGCCUAAAAGUCCUGAUUAUCAGUUCUGGGUCCCUGGCAAUGACUGUUGGGUACAAACUGAGAAGCUGUGCUCUGAAGGUAGGGCUGGGCUUUUCACUGACCAUGUAGGUGGAUUAGUUGUGUGGGCAAAGUGUGUCAUCAUAGCCACUAUGUUUUCUGCACUUGGAGUAGACAGCACCUUGAUAGCUCAGUUGGUAGAGCAGAGGACUGUAGGCAGUUCCUCCUAUGAAGUGCUGUCGUUCCAAGGUCGCUGGUUCAACUCCUGCUCAAAGCAAGCCUUGUCUUCAUCUUUCAGCUCCUCCAAAAUUUAAAAACACAAACAAGAUAACUCCUACUUUAUUUUCCAACCAUCAAUUUUUUAUUCACCCAGCCUAAAAGUCCUGAUUAUCAGUUCUGGGUCCCUGGCAAUGACUGUUGGGUACAAACUGAGAAGCUGCGCUCUGAAGGUAGGGCUGGGCUUUUCACUGACCAUGUAGGUGGAUUAGUUGUGUGGGCAAAGUGUGUCAUCAUAGCCACUAUGUUUUCUGCACUUGGAGUAGACAGCACCUUGAUAGCUCAGUUGGUAGAGCAGAGGACUGUAGGCAGUUCCUCCUAUGAAGUGCUGUGGUUCCAGGGUCGCUGGUUCAACUCCCGCUCAAAGCAAGCCUUGUGUUCAUCUGUCAGCUCCUCCAAAAUUUAAAAACACAAACAAGAUAACUCCUACUUUAUUUUCCAACCAUCAAUUUUUUAUUCACCCAGCCUAAAAGUCCUGAUUAUCAGUUCUGGGUCCCUGGCAAUGACUGUUGGGUACAAACUGAGAAGCUGUGCUCUGAAGGUAGGGCUGGGCUUUUCACUGACCAUGUAGGUGGAUUAGUUGUGUGGGCAAAGUGUGUCAUCAUAGCCACUAUGUUUUCUGCACUUGGAGUAGACAGCACCUUGAUAGCUCAGUUGGUAGAGCAGAGGACUGUAGGCAGUUCCUCCUAUUAAGUGCUGUGGUUCCAAGGUCGCUGGUUCAACUCCCGCUCAAAGCAAGCCUUGUGUUCAUCUGUCAGCUCCUCCAAAAUUUAAAAACACAAACAAGAUAACUCCUACUUUAUUUUCCAACCAUCAAUUUUUUAUUCACCCAGCCUAAAAGUCCUGAUUAUCAGUUCUGGGUCCCUGGCAAUGACUGUUGGGUACAAACUGAGAAGCUGCGCUCUGAAGGUAGGGCUGGGCUUUUCACUGACUAAGUUGGUAGAGCAGAGGACUGUAGGCAGUUCCUCCUAUGAAGUGCUGUCGUUCCAGGGUUGCUUGUUCAACUCCCGCUCAAAGCAAGCCUUGUGUUCAUCUGUCAGCUCCUCCAAAAUUUAAAAACACAAACAAGAUAACUCCUACUUUAUUUUCCAACCAUCAAUUUUUUAUUCACCCAGCCUAAAAGUCCUGAUUAUCAGUUCUGGGUCCCUGGCAAUGACUGUUGGGUACAAACUGAGAAGCUGUGCUCUGAAGGUAGGGCUGGGCUUUUCACUGACCAUGUAGGUGGAUUAGUUGUGUGGGCAAAGUGUGUCAUCAUAGCCACUAUGUUUUCUGCACUUGCAGUAGACAGCAUCGUGAUAGCUCAGUUGGUACAGCAGAGGACUGUAGGCACUUCCUCCUAUGAAGUGCUGUGGUUCCAAGGUCCCUGGUUCAACUCCCACUCAAAGCAAGCCUUGUCUUCAUCUGUCAGCUCCUCCAAAAUUUAAAAACACAAACAAGAUAACUCCUACUUUAUUUUCCAACCGUCAAUUUUUUAUUCACCCAGCCUAAAAGUCCUGAUUAUCAGUUCUGGGUCCCUGGCAAUGACUGUUGGGUACAAACUGAGAAGCUGUGCUCUGAAGGUAGGGCUGGGCUUUUCACUGACCAUGUAGGUGGAUUAGUUGUGUGGGCAAAGUGUGUCAUCAUAGCCACUAUGUUUUCUGCACUUGGAGUAGACAGCACCUUGAUAGCUCAGUUGGUAGAGCAGAGGACUGUAGGCAGUUCCUCCUAUGAAGUGCUGUGGUUUCAAGGUCGCUGGUUCAACUCCCGCUCAAAGCAAGCCUUGUGUUCAUCUGUCAGCUCCUCCAAAAUUUAAAAACACAAACAAGAUAACUCCUACUUUAUUUUCCAACCAUCAAUUUUUUAUUCACCCAGCCUAAAAGUCCUGAUUAUCAGUUCUGGGUCCCUGGCAAUGACUGUUGGGUACAAACUGAGAAGCUGCGCUCUGAAGGUAGGGCUGGGCUUUUCACUGACCAUGUAGGUGGAUUAGUUGUGUGGGCAAAGUGUGUCAUCAUAGCCACUAUGUUUUCUGCACUUGGAGUAGACAGCACCUUGAUAGCUCAGUUGGUAGAGCAGAGGACUGUAGGCAGUUCCUCCUAUGAAGUGCUGUGGUUCCAGGGUCGCUGGUUCAACUCCCGCUCAAAGCAAGCCUUGUGUUCAUCUGUCAGCUCCUCCAAAAUUUAAAAACACAAACAAGAUAACUCCUACUUUAUUUUCCAACCAUCAAUUUUUUAUUCACCCAGCCUAAAAGUCCUGAUUAUCAGUUCUGGGUCCCUGGCAAUGACUGUUGGGUACAAACUGAGAAGCUGCGCUCUGAAGGUAGGGCUGGGCUUUUCACUGACCAUGUAGGUGGAUUAGUUGUGUGGGCAAAGUGUGUCAUCAUAGCCACUAUGUUUUCUGCACUUGGAGUAGACAGCAUCUUGAUAGCUCAGUUGGUAGAGCAGAGCACUGUAGGCAGUUCCUCCUAUGAAGUGCUGUGGUUCCAAGGUCGCUGGUUCAACUCCCGCUCAAAGCAAGCCUUGUCUUCAUCUGUCAGCUCCUCCAAAAUUUAAAAACACAAACAAGAUAACUCCUACUUUAUUUUCCAACCAUCAAUUUUUUAUUCACCCAGCCUAAAAGUCCUGAUUAUCAGUUCUGGGUCCCUGGCAAUGACUGUUGGGUACAAACUGAGAAGCUGUGCUCUGAAGGUAGGGCUGGGCUUUUCACUGACCAUGUAGGUGGAUUAGUUGUGUGGGCAAAGUGUGUCAUCAUAGCCACUAUGUUUUCUGCACUUGGAGUAGACAGCACCUUGAUAGCUCAGUUGGUAGAGCAGAGGACUGUAGCCAGUUCCUCCUAUGAAGUGCUGUGGUUCCAAGGUCGCUAGUUCAACUCCC
rnacentral:lncRNA from 1 species